rnacentral:rRNA from 1 species
UACGUAGGGUGCGAGCGUUAAUCGGAAUUACUGGGCGUAAAGCGUGCGCAGGCGGUUAUUUAAGUCAGGUGUGAAAGCCCUGGGCUUAACCUAGGAAUUGCGCUUGAGACUGGUUAGCUUGGAGUGCGGCAGAGGGAGGUGGAAUUCCACGUGUAGCAGUGAAAUGCGUAGAGAUGUGGAGGAACACCGAUGGCGAAGGCAGCCUCCUGGGCCAGCACUGACGCUCAUGCACGAAAGCGUGGGGAGCAAACAGG